GGCUUGUUAGUCUAGUGGCAUGAUUCUCGCUUUGGGUAUGAGAGGCCCCGGGUUCAAUUCCCGGACGAGCCC
rnacentral:tRNA from 1 species